ensembl:snRNA U4 U4 spliceosomal RNA
AGCUUUGUGCUCUAGUAGUAUUGUAGCCAGUGGGGUUUAUCCAAGGCACAGUUAUUACUAGUUGAAAUAUAAAUAUCAUGCCUCCCUAGGAAUAAC